rnacentral:rRNA from 1 species
CCUACGGGUGGCUGCAGUGGGGAAUAUUGGACAAUGGGCGAAAGCCUGAUCCAGCCAUGCCGCGUGUGUGAAGAAGGCCUUCGGGUUGUAAAGCACUUUCAGUGGGGAAGAAAGCCUUGGGGCUAAUACCCUCGAGGAAGGACAUCACCCACAGAAGAAGCACCGGCUAACUCCGUGCCAGCAGCCGCGGUAAUACGGAGGGUGCGAGCGUUAAUCGGAAUUACUGGGCGUAAAGCGCGCGUAGGCGGUCUGAUAAGCCGGUUGUGAAAGCCCCGGGCUCAACCUGGGAACGGCAUCCGGAACUGUCAGGCUAGAGUGCAGGAGAGGAAGGUAGAAUUCCCGGUGUAGCGGUGAAAUGCGUAGAGAUCGGGAGGAAUACCAGUGGCGAAGGCGGCCUUCUGGACUGACACUGACGCUGAGGUGCGAAAGCGUGGGUAGCAAACAGGAUUAAAUACCCGAGUAGUC